UGGUGAGGUAAUGGCUCACCAAGGCGACGAUCCCUAGCUGGUCUGAGAGGAUGAUCAGCCACACUGGAACUGAGACACGGUCCAGACUCCUACGGGAGGCAGCAGUGGGGAAUAUUGCACAAUGGGCGCAAGCCUGAUGCAGCCAUGCCGCGUGUAUGAAGAAGGCCUUCGGGUUGUAAAGUACUUUCAGCAGUGAGGAAGGUAUCAUAGUUAAUAGCUGCGGUAUUUGACGUUAACUGCAGAAGAAGCACCGGCUAACUCCGUGCCAGCAGCCGCGGUAAUACGGAGGGUGCGAGCGUUAAUCGGAAUUACUGGGCGUAAAGCGCAUGCAGGUGGUUUGUUAAGUCAGAUGUGAAAGCCCGGGGCUCAACCUCGGAAUAGCAUUUGAAACUGGCAGACUAGAGUACUGUAGAGGGGGGUAGAAUUUCAGGUGUAGCGGUGAAAUGCGUAGAGAUCUGAAGG
rnacentral:rRNA from 1 species